rnacentral:rRNA from 1 species
CAUGCAAGUCGAACGGCAGCACGGGCUUCGGCCUGGUGGCGAGUGGCGAACGGGUGAGUAAUACAUCGGAACGUACCCAGAAGUGGGGGAUAACGCAGCGAAAGUUGCGCUAAUACCGCAUACGUUCUACGGAAGAAAGUGGGGGAUCUUCGGACCUCAUGCUUUUGGAGCGGCCGAUGUCUGAUUAGCUAGUUGGUGGGGUAAAGGCUCACCAAGGCGACGAUCAGUAGCUGGUCUGAGAGGACGACCAGCCACACUGGAACUGAGACACGGUCCAGACUCCUACGGGAGGCAGCAGUGGGGAAUUUUGGACAAUGGGCGCAAGCCUGAUCCAGCAAUGCCGCGUGAGUGAAGAAGGCCUUCGGGUUGUAAAGCUCUUUUGUCAGGGAAGAAACGGUUCCGGCUAAUAUCCGGGGCUAAUGACGGUACCUGAAGAAUAAGCACCGGCUAACUACGUGCCAGCAGCCGCGGUAAUACGUAGGGUGCAAGCGUUAAUCGGAAUUACUGGGCGUAAAGCGUGCGCAGGCGGUUUUGUAAGUCUGUCGUGAAAGCCCCGGGCUCAACCUGGGAAUUGCGAUGGAGACUGCAAGGCUUGAAUCUGGCAGAGGGGGGUAGAAUUCCACGUGUAGCAGUGAAAUGCGUAGAGAUGUGGAGGAACACCGAUGGCGAAGGCAGCCCCCUGGGUCAAGAUUGACGCUCAUGCACGAAAGCGUGGGGAGCAAACAGGAUUAGAUACCCUGGUAGUCCACGCCCUAAACGAUGUCUACUAGUUGUCGGGUUUUAAUUAACUUGGUAACGCAGCUAACGCGUGAAGUAGACCGCCUGGGGAGUACGGUCGCAAGAUUAAAACUCAAAGGAAUUGACGGGGACCCGCACAAGCGGUGGAUGAUGUGGAUUAAUUCGAUGCAACGCGAAAAACCUUACCUACCCUUGACAUGGAAGGAAUCCUUG